rnacentral:rRNA from 1 species
UACGUAGGGUGCGAGCGUUAAUCGGAAUUACUGGGCGUAAAGCGUGCGCAGGCGGUGAUGUAAGACAGAUGUGAAAUCCCCCGGGCUCAACCUGGGAACUGCAUUUGUGACUGCAUCGCUGGAGUGCGGCAGAGGGGGAUGGAAUUCCGCGUGUAGCAGUGAAAUGCGUAGAUAUGCGGAGGAACACCGAUGGCGGAAGGCAAUCCCCUGGGCCUGCA